UACGUAGGGUGCGAGCGUUGUCCGGAAUUACUGGGCGUAAAGAGCUUGUAGGUGGUUUGUCACGUCGUCUGUGAAAUUCCGGGGCUUAACCUCGGGCGUGCAGGCGAUACGGGCAUGCUUGAGGUAGGUAGGGGAGACUGGAAUUCCUGGUGUAGCGGUGAAAUGCGCAGAUAUCAGGAGGAACACCGGUGGCGAAGGCGGGUCUCUGGGCCUUACCUGACGCUGAGGAGCGAAAGCAUGGGUAGCCAACAGGAUUAGAUACCCGUGUAGU
rnacentral:rRNA from 1 species